rfam:Caenorhabditis japonica strain DF5081 Contig18190.10, whole genome shotgun sequence.
GCCCUUAUAGCUCAGUGGCAGAGCGUUGGUCUUGUAAACCAAAGGUCCGUAGUUCAAUCCUGCGUGAGGGCA